UAGGGAAUCUUCCACAAUGGACGCAAGUCUGAUGGAGCAACGCCGCGUGAGUGAAGAAGGUUUUCGGACCGUAAAGCUCUGUUGUUGGUGAAGAAGGAUAGAGGUAGUAACUGGCCUUUAUUUAACGGUAAUCAACCAGAAAGUCACGGCUAACUACGUGCCAGCAGCCGCGGUAAUACGUAGGUGGCAAGCGUUGUCCGGAUUUAUUGGGCGUAAAGCGAGCGCAGGCGGAAGAAUAAGUCUGAUGUGAAAGCCCUCGGCUUAACCGAGGAAUUGCAUCGGAAACUGUUUUCUUGAGUGCAGAAGAGGAGAGUAGAACUCCAUGUGUAGCGGUGGAAUGCGUAGAUAUAUGGAAGAAUACCAGUGGCGAAGGCGGCUCUCUGGUCUGCAACUGACGCUGAGGCUCGAAAGCAUGGGUAGCGAACAGGAUUAGAUACCCUGGUAGUCCAUGCCGUAAACGAUGAAUGCUAAGUGUUGGGAGGCUUCCGCCUCUCAGUGCUGCAGCUAACGCAUUAAGCACUCCGCCUGGGGAGUACGACCGCAAGGUUGAAAC
rnacentral:rRNA from 1 species